CGUCUCGUGAUGUCAUGUUCUUUAAUGUUUAAAAGCCCAAGAGUUCUCCUUGGCUUUUAUCUCAGUCAGGUUCUACCACUGAUAACCUUAGGACUCAGUACAGGCUUAAGGUGAAUCUCUAUUGUAUUAACCAUGCGACCUCAGGAAACCAACAAUGAAGUGACCAAAUUAGGGAGUAAGUUAUAUUCACAAUAAAAUAUCUCAAUGUACAAACUUAAUGGUUCAGAAAUAUCAACUUUUUUGUCUCUGCUUUCCAGCUACCUACUACACGGUGAUGGAGAGGGCCCUCUUAACACCCCGUGAAAAAUACAGCGAGCCUAUCACCGAUAGCAUGAACAUUGGAUGGCAUGUCAACAAGGAGAACACAGCAGAGGCUUCAGUUCAAAGGAAAUUUGGAAGGCGGGUCACUGAUGUUACCAGUUUUUCGAGCAAUUUUCCCAUGUGCCGCCAGCAUAGUCCUCCCCCAAGGAAGACCACCGCCGAUCACCCACGCCCCGUCAUGGGGCGGGCCCCCAAAACCAGCACAGACUGGAGGACAGCAGACCCCAAAGCACCAGCCCCACCAGCUACCCAUUACAAUAUGAUGGAGAGGGCCCGCUUAACGCCCCAUGAAAAAUACACCCAGCCUAUCACCA
rnacentral:lncRNA from 1 species